UUUAGUAAAUUAUACAAGAUACUCUCUAAAUUACUUAAAGGAGCUAGUAGCUAGCGUACACAUGUACUUCUCAUCAACACUCUAAAUUUGUAGUAUAUAUGUGAGUGUAAUUUUUCUGUUCUACAAAAUACAGAGAACAAAAAUAGUAGGACUUUCUUUGAGGAAAACACUACCAGUUAAUGCCAGUAUUGUUCGAGUUCUAAUUGUACCUAUACAUACCCACUAAACGCCCUCUUUCAUUGACCAGUUAGAACCAAUGUUACAGCUUCCUAAACCCAUCCAAAGGGCUAAAGAAAUAGUCAAAAUUAAUCAAAAAUCCUCCUAUUCAAUUUAAUACUCCAAGAUCAAUACAAUUCAUCUUAAAUCACCCCUUAGCAGCUAUCAUCUCCUGAUUCACCACUAGUCCAAAAUCCUCGGUAAAGCAAUCAUAAAAGCUAUAUUACUCACUAAAAUCACCAAUACUUGUCUUCUAAAGGUCCGAAUCCAAUUAAGUGUAAAUGCUUUCGAGAUUCUUUGCCUACUUAGGCUUAUUAAUUCACCAAGUUAUUGAAGUCUCUAAACUUGAAGUUGAGUUUAACUAUAAGUGAAAUAAUCUUCAGUAGUUUUAAUGUCAAGACUGUUGAUAUUUUUUAAAUGUGUUUCUUACUUAGCUUAUCAAUUCACCAUGCUGAAGAGAAAGUUGUGUAAGGAGGCAUGCUUUUUUCUUCUAACUUUGUUUUUUAUUUUAUAGUAUUACGUGAAAAUUUUAACCUUUUAGGAUGUCAUCGAAUAAAUAUGAGAAAUAGGAGUUGGUAUUUGUUCAAAUAGCAAAUAGAUCUCUUUACUCAAGUUGAUGAUGAAAUAGGG
rnacentral:lncRNA from 1 species